GUGAGUCAUCGAAUCUUUGAACGCAUAUUGCGCCUUCUGGUAUUCCGGGAGGCACACCUGUUCGAGCGCCAUUUCAACCCUCAAGCAUUGCUUGGUGUUGGGUGGAGUCCUUAGUGGGACCCCCCCGUAACUCAUAGGCGGUCGCAACUCGCAACCUUAGCGUAGCAAGCUCACGCACUCGCUAAGGGGGAUGAGGUGCUAUCAUGCCCUACAAACCCACUAAAGGUUUGGCCUCGGAUCAGGUGGGGAUACCCACUGAACUUAAGCAUAUCAAUAAGCGGAGGA
rnacentral:misc_RNA from 1 species